CCUACGGGAGGCAGCAGUGGGGAAUAUUGCGCAAUGGGCGAAAGCCUGACGCAGCGACGCCGCGUGAGGGAUGAAGGUCCUCGGAUCGUAAACCUCUGUCAGCAGGGAAGUACGGUCACUGUACUAAUCAGCAGUGAAUUUACUGUACCUGCAAAGGACGCACCGGCUAACUCCGUGCGAGCAGCCGCGGUAGUACGGAGGGUGCGAGCGUUAAUCGGAUUUACUGGGCGUAAAGCGCUCGUAGGCGGUAUGUCAAGUCAAGGGUGAAAUCCCCGCGCUCAACGUGGGAACUGCCGUUGAAACUGGCAGACUGGAGUGUAGUAGAGGAGAGUGGAAUUCCAGGUGUAGGAGUGAAAUCCGUAGAUAUCAGGAGGAACAUCAGUGGCGAAGGCGACUAUCUGGCACGUAACUGACGCUGAGGAGCGAAAGCGUGGGUAGCAAACAGGAUUAGAUACCCGGGUAGUC
rnacentral:rRNA from 1 species